GCUGUGGCUCAGUGGUAGAGCACUUGCCUGGUGUGUGUAAAAUUCUGGGUUCAAUUCUCAGCACUGCA
rnacentral:tRNA from 1 species